rnacentral:rRNA from 1 species
UACAGAGGGUGCAAGCGUUGUUCGGAAUUAUUGGGCGUAAAGCGCGUGUAGGCGGCUUUGCAAGUCGGGUGUGAAAGCCCUCAGCUCAACUGAGGAAGUGCGCCCGAAACUGCAGAGCUUGAGUACCGGAGAGGAUGGCGGAAUUCCCCAAGUAGAGGUGAAAUUCGUAGAUAUGGGGAGGAACACCGGUGGCGAAGGCGGCCAUCUGGCCUGUUCUUGACGCUGAGGCGCGAAAGCUAGGGGAGAAAACGGG